CGUAGGGUGCGAGCGUUAAUCGGAAUUACUGGGCGUAAAGCGUGCGCAGGCGGUUCUGUAAGACAGGCGUGAAAUCCCCGGGCUCAACCUGGGAACUGCGCUUGUGACUGCAAGGCUAGAGUACGGCAGAGGGGGGUGGAAUUCCACGUGUAGCAGUGAAAUGCGUAGAGAUGUGGAGGAACACCAAUGGCGAAGGCAGCCCCCUGGGUCGAUACUGACGCUCAUGCACGAAAGCGUGGGUAGCAAACAGGAUUAGAUACCCUGGUAGUCCACGCCCUAAACGAUGUCAACUAGGUGUUGGGUGGGUAAAACCAUUUAGUACCGGAGCUAACGCGUGAAGUUGACCGCCUGGGGAUACGGCCGCAAGGUUA
rnacentral:rRNA from 1 species